GAGGGUAGAGCUCAGUGGUAGAGUGCCAGCUUAGCAUGCAUGAGGUCCUGGGUUCAAUUCCAGCACCUCCA
rnacentral:tRNA from 1 species